CUUAUCAAGAAAGGCGGAGGGAUUGGCCCGAUGAAACCUUAGCAACCAGAUGACUUAUAAUCUAAGGUGCUAAAUCCAACCUAUCAAAGGGAAAGAUGAG
rnacentral:ncRNA from 1 species